rnacentral:rRNA from 1 species
GUUCGAUUCCGGAGAGGGAGCCUGAGAAACGGCUACNNNNNNNNNNNNNNGCAGCAGGCGCGCAAAUUACCCAAUCCCGACACGGGGAGGUAGUGACAAUAAAUAACAAUACGGGGCUCUUUCGGGUCUCGUAAUUGGAAUGAGUACAAUUUAAAUCCCUUAACGAGGAACAAUUGGAGGGCAAGUCUGGUGCCAGCAGCCGCGGUAAUUCCAGCUCCAAUAGCGUAUAUUAAAGUUGUUGCAGUUAAAAAGCUCGUAGUUGAAUUUCGGGAUUGACACAUCGGUCGUGCCUUAAGGGGUAUGAACUGGUGUAGUCAAUUUCUCACCUUCUGGAGAACCGCGAUGCCCUUAAUUGGGUGUCGCGGGGAACCAGGACCUUUACUUUGAAAAAAUUAGAGUGUUUAAAGCAGGCAUUUUGCUUGAAUACAUUAGCAUGGAAUAAUAAAAUAGGACGGCAUGAUUCUAUUUUGUUGGUUUCUAGGAUCACCGUAAUGAUUAAUAGGGAUAGUUGGGGGCAUUAGUAUUCAAUUGUCAGAGGUGAAAUUCUUGGAUUUAUUGAAGACUAACUACUGCGAAAGCAUUUGCCAAGGAUGUUUUCAUUAAUCAAGAACGAAAGUUAGGGGAUCGAAGACGAUCAGAUACCGUCGUAGUCUUAACCAUAAACUAUGCCGACUAGGAAUCAGA